rnacentral:rRNA from 1 species
AUCAUGGCUCAGAACGAACGCUGGCGGCAGGCCUAACACAUGCAAGUCGAGCGAGAACUUCGGUUCUAGCGGCGGACGGGUUAGUAACGCGUGGGAACGUGCCUUUCACUACGGAAUAGUCCCGGGAAACUGGGUUUAAUACCGUAUACGCCCUUCGGGGGAAAGAAUUUCGGUGAAAGAUCGGCCCGCGUUAGAUUAGAUAGUUGGUGGGGUAAUGGCCUACCAAGUCUACGAUCUAUAGCUGGUUUUAGAGGAUGAUCAGCAACACUGGGACUGAGACACGGCCCAGACUCCUACGGGAGGCAGCAGUGGGGAAUCUUAGACAAUGGGCC